rnacentral:rRNA from 1 species
UACGUAGGUGGCAAGCGUUAUCCGGAAUUACUGGGCGUAAAGAGAAUGUAGGUGGCUAGAUAAGUCACAUGUGAAAGCCCACGGCUCAACCGUGGAGGUGCAUGUGAUACUGUUUAGCUAGAGUGUAGGAGAGGUAAGCGGAAUUCCUAGUGUAGCGGUAGAAUGCGUAGAUAUUAGGAGGAACACCAGAGGCGAAGGCGGCUUACUGGCCUAACACUGACACUGAGAUUCGAAAGCGUGGGGAGCAAAC